CACGUAGGGUGCGAGCGUUGUCCGGAAUUAUUGGGCGUAAAGAGCUCGUAGGCGGUCUGUCGCGUCUGCUGUGAAAACUCAGGGCUUAACCCUGAGCUUGCAGUGGGUACGGGCAGACUAGAGUGCGGUAGGGGAGACUGGAAUUCCUGGUGUAGCGGUGAAAUGCGCAGAUAUCAGGAGGAACACCGGUGGCGAAGGCGGGUCUCUGGGCCGA
rnacentral:rRNA from 1 species